AGCUCCAAUAGCGUAUAUUAAAGUUGUUGCAGUUAAAAAGCUCUUAGUUGGAUUUGUGGUCCUGGUCGUUUGGUCCGACGCUUUAGUGUGGGUACCUGAAUGACUGGUCCAUCCUUGGGUGGAAUCUGUGUGGCAUUAAGUUGUCGUGCAGGGGAUGCCCAUCGUUUACUGUGAAAAAAUUAGAGUGUUCAAAGCAGGCUUAUGCCGUUGAAUAUAUUAGCAUGGAAUAAUGAGAUAGGACCUCGGUACUAUUUUGUUGGUUUGCGCACUGAGGUAAUGGUUAAUAGGGACAGUUGGGGGUAUUCGUAUUCCAGUGUCAGAGGUGAAAUUCUUGGAUUUUUGGAAGACGAACGACUGCGAAAGCAUUUACCAAGGAUGUUU
rnacentral:rRNA from 1 species